rnacentral:rRNA from 1 species
GCCCUAUGGGUUGUAAACUGCUUUUACAGAGGAAGAACCCUCCUUACGUGUAAGGAGCUGACGGUACUCUAUGAAUAAGGAUCGGCUAACUCCGUGCCAGCAGCCGCGGUAAUACGGAGGAUCCAAGCGUUAUCCGGAAUCAUUGGGUUUAAAGGGUCCGUAGGCGGGUCUAUAAGUCAGUGGUGAAAGUCUGCAGCUUAACUGUAGAACUGCCAUUGAUACUGUAGACCUUGAAUUAGUAUGAAGUGGUUAGAAUGUGUAGUGUAGCGGUGAAAUGCAUAGAUAUUACACAGAAUACCGAUUGCGAAGGCAGAUCACUAAUACUAUAUUGACGCUGAUGGACGAAAGCGUAGGUAGCGAACAGGAUUAGAUACCCUGGUAGUCUACGCCGUAAACGAUGGUUACUAGCUGUCCGGCCUAAUUGAGGGCUGGGUGGUUAAGCGAAAGUGAUAAGUAACCCACCUGGGGAGUACGUUCGCAAGAAUGAAACUCAAAGGAAUUGACGGGGGCCCGCACAAGCGGUGGAGCAUGUGGUUUAAUUCGAUGAUACGCGAGGAACCUUACCAGGGCUUAAAUGCAGUCUGACGUAUCUGGAAACAGAUAUUUCUUCGGACAGAUUGCAAGGUGCUGCAUGGUUGUCGUCAGCUCGUGCCGUGAGGUGUCAGGUUAAGUCCUAUAACGAGCGCAACCCCUGUGGUUAGUUGCCAGCGAGUAAUGUCGGGAACUCUAGCCAGACUGCCGGUGCAAACCGUGAGGAAGGUGGGGAUGACGUCAAAUCAUCACGGCCCUUACGUCCUGGGCCACACACGUGCUACAAUGGUAGGGACAGAGAGCAGCCACUUCGCGAGAAGGAGCGAAUCUAUAAACCCUAUCACAGUUCGGAUCGUAGUCUGCAACUCGACUACGUGAAGCUGGAAUCGCUAGUAAUCGCAUAUCAGCCAUGAUGCGGUGAAUACGUUCCCGGGCCUUGUACACACCGCCCGUCAAGCCAUGGAAGCCGGGGGUACCUGAAGUCCGUUACCGCAAGGAGCGGCCUAGGGUAAAACUGGUAACUGGGGCUAAGUCGUAACAAGGUAGCCGUACCGGAGGGUGCGGCUGGAACACCUCCUUUCU